GCCCGUGGCCUCUAGAGCCCCGAGUCUCGGCUCUUCCGUUCACUAGCUGUGUGACCAUGGGUAAGGUGCCCAUCCUCAGUUUCUCCAUCUGCGGAGUGAAGAUGAUGACUUCUUAGUGUUGUUGUGGACUCCUGUGAGAUAGCGAGUAGAGAGAGAGAAGCGGAAGGUAGAAAGGCCAAAUACUCAGAUGCGACCAUGCUCCCAACCCAGUGAAGAUCAAGGUCGUGACAGGAAGCUAUUCCACCUCACCUUGGCCUGCAGGGCAAGCCCCAUGCUGUCUGGGGUUUCCCAGGAGGUUGCUAAGGGCAAAUGGGAAUGUGGAAUGUAGCCACCAUUUUGUACAAACAUUAGAUGCUCAAUAAACUUCUAAAGAGUUAGCAAUUUUAUGAGGACCAAGGACCAGAAGAACGUGGUCAGCAUUCCAGAUAAGGCAGGAUGGGGUUUUUGUGGGCUUGGUUCUUUUGCUUCAGCCAACUCAAAGGCUCAAGUAAAGUCUUGGAUCUUUACCCUGAACCAGCCAAGGCUUUGGAGUCACUGGCAGGAAUCAAGAGUAUGUAACUCUGGCAGAGCCACUAGCGGAAGAAUAGAUGGGGAGAAGCAUGUUACUAGUGGAAGGUCCAGACAUUCCAGUUCCUUCUUCAAACGCAGCUCACUAUUUAUGGGUGAAAUGGGAAAAAGGUUUAGGAUUGGCUUCAAAACAAAACGAAGGGAUAGAGGGAAGCGGGUGGGGGACCUGGGUAGAGGGUUGUAGACAGACUAGCAUCGCUCUCUGGCUUGAGAGGGGCCCCUAUGCACCAGGCAGCUAAUCAGCAGAAGACCCUGUA
rnacentral:lncRNA from 1 species